AAAACUUCCUGAAGACUCCGCUGCACACUGCAGGCCAAGAGGUACAAGGCGAGAGACAAGAGAAGAAUGGACCCUUUCAGCUACCAGAGCCACUCGGCCUUCCACUGACCCCCCCCCCCCUCAGCCAUCUUGCGAGGCAGCUAGGCUGGCUCAGGAAGCCUGGGUCCUCCUUCCAGCUGGGCUGCCACCUGCAUCUGUGGCCACAGCAUUCCUCUGGGUCUGGGAGUGUUUGCUUGCUUUUUUUUUUUUUUAAUCUAAAUUUUCUGUGAUGACUGUGCUUAGGUAAUAGAAGAUCACAGCACAAAAUGCAACAGGUACCAAAAGUGAAGUCUCUGUCCGACAAUCCCAGAUAGACAACUCUGUCACUUCCUCUGAGGCAGUCAUUAAUUUCCUCCAUAAAUAUCUGAUUCCUUUGCAAAGAGUCCCUCUUCUUCUCCUUUCAUUAUUAGUUUUAUGCAGAUGGUAUCAUAUUAUUCACGCUAUUUUAUAACUUCCUUUUUUCCUACUUAACAAUAUGUCUCGUGUAGUAUCUAAGGUCCUAAAGCUCUUUCCACCUUAAUUUUCUGUCAUCAAGGAAUCAGGCCUGGGAUUUAAAGAGUCUAUUUCUUAAGAAUCUGGGUAAAUGUUCCCACAACUGCCUUAGCAGAGCAGGGAGGAGAAAAUGGGAGGAAGUGUUUUAUGGCUAGGCAUCAUGAAACACUUUGAUGUUCCCUGGUCAGUCGACAUUGUCAUUUUCAUUCCUCUCUGAGCCAUUGGCCCAGAAGGGCGACUUACUCUAGGUUAAGAGAGAUGGAGCUUUGCAUUCAGGCCCUAUCCUGAUGCCCACAGGAUUCUGCACAUUAACCCUAUUGAUUCUUAUAUUUUUGCCAUUUUACAGAAAAGGAAAAUGAAGUCUCCAGUAGGUCAGAUAACUACCAAUGCCACACGGCUGAUGACAGCAGAACUGGCUUCCAGGAUUGGCUACCGUUUCUGAAGUCCACAUACUUGCCAAUUUGUCCAAAAGGAGCCACAGACAGGUCUGCAGAGGGACAUUGACGGGAAUGAAGUGUCCCCUCCUGGAGUACCCCUGGGCGCCAGCCUUAACAAUGCUGACUGGGCUUUCAGACUCCAUCUGCGGAGCCACACCCAGGAGUGCAACGGGGUAGAGAGGCAGGAAAACCUCUGGGACCCCCUGACAGCUGCAGCAAUGGAGCCG
rnacentral:lncRNA from 1 species